CGCCUACCGCAUGGUGGGUGUUGGAAAGAUUUAUCGGUUUUGGAUGGACUCGCGGCCUAUCAGCUUGUUGGUGAGGUAAUGGCUCACCAAGGCGACGACGGGUAGCCGGCCUGAGAGGGUGACCGGCCACACUGGGACUGAGACACGGCCCAGACUCCUACGGGAGGCAGCAGUGGGGAAUAUUGCACAAUGGGCGCAAGCCUGAUGCAGCGACGCCGCGUGAGGGAUGACGGCCUUCGGGUUGUAAACCUCUUUCAGUAGGGAAGAAGCGAAAGUGACGGUACCUGCAGAAGAAGCACCGGCUAACUACGUGCCAGCAGCCGCGGUAAUACGUAGGGUGCGAGCGUUAUCCGGAAUUAUUGGGCGUAAAGAGCUCGUAGGCGGUUUGUCGCGUCUGUCGUGAAAGUCCGGGGCUUAACCCCGGAUCUGCGGUGGGUACGGGCAGACUAGAGUGCAGUAGGGGAGACUGGAAUUCCUGGUGUAGCGGUGGAAUGCGCAGAUAUCAGGAGGAACACCGAUGGCGAAGGCAGGUCUCUGGGCUGUAACUGACGCUGAGGAGCGAAAGCAUGGGGAGCGAACAGGAUUAGAUACCCUGGUAGUCCAUGCCGUAAACGUUGGGCACUAGGUGUGGGGACCAUUCCACGGUUUCCGCGCCGCAGCUAACGCAUUAAGUGCCCCGCCUGGGGAGUACGGCCGCAAGGCUAAAACUCAAAGGAAUUGACGGGGGCCCGCACAAGCGGCGGAGCAUGCGGAUUAAUUCGAUGCAACGCGAAGAACCUUACCAAGGCUUGACAUGUUCUCGAUCGCCGUAGAGAUACGGUUUCCCCUUUGGGGCGGGUUCACAGGUGGUGCAUGGUUGUCGUCAGCUCGUGUCGUGAGAUGUUGGGUUAAGUCCCGCAACGAGCGCAACCCUCGUUCCAUGUUGCCAGCACGUAAUGGUGGGGACUCAUGGGAGACUGCCGGGGUCAACUCGGAGGAAGGUGAGGACGACGUCAAAUCAUCAUGCCCCUUAUGUCUUGGGCUUCACGCAUGCUACAAUGGCCGGUACAAUGGGUUGCGAUACUGUGAGGUGGAGCUAAUCCCAAAAAGCCGGUCUCAGUUCGGAUUGGGGUCUGCAACUCGACCCCAUGAAGUCGGAGUCGCUAGUAAUCGCAGAUCAGCAACGCUGC
rnacentral:rRNA from 1 species